CAAUAGCGUAUAUUAAAGUUGUUGCAGUUAAAAAGCUCGUAGUUGGAUUUGUGGUUGUCACGGGCGGCCUAUCACUUAGUGUUAGUGCUUGCCUGUGUCGCCAUCCUUGGGUGGAGCCCGUGUGGCAUUAGGUUGUCGUGCGGGGGAUGCCCAUCGUUUACUGUGAGAAAAUUAGAGUGUUCAAAGCAGGCUUAUGCCAUUGAAUAUGUUAGCAUGGAAUAAUAAGAUAGGACCUCGGUACUAUUUUGUUGGUUUGCGCACCGAGGUAAUGAUUAAUAGGGACAGUUGGGGGUAUUCGUAUUUCAUUGUCAGAGGUGAAAUUCUUGGAUUUCUGAAAGACGAACUACUGCGAAAGCAUUUACCAAGGAUGUUUUCAUUAA
rnacentral:rRNA from 1 species